rnacentral:misc_RNA from 1 species
GAUGAAGAACGCAGCAAAAUGCGAUAAGUAAUGUGAAUUGCAGAAUUCAGUGAAUCAUCGAAUCUUUGAACGCACAUUGCGCCCGCUGGUAUUCCGGCGGGCAUGCCUGUUCGAGCGUCAUUUCAACCCUCAAGCCCCCGGGUUUGGUGUUGGGGAUCGGCUCUGCCCUUCUGGGCGGUGCCGCCCCCGAAAUACAUUGGCGGUCUCGCUGCAGCCUCCAUUGCGUAGUAGCUAACACCUCGCAACUGGAACGCGGCGCGGCCAUGCCGUAAAACCCCAACUUCUGAAUGUUGACCUUGGAUCAGGUAGGAAUACCCGCUGAACUUAAGCAUAUCAAUAGCGGAGGA